GGCUAGGAUGAACGCUAGCUACAGGCUUAACACAUGCAAGUCGAGGGGUAGCAGGGUAGCAAUACCGCUGACGACCGGCGCACGGGUGAGUAACACGUAUCCAACCUUCCCAUAACUCAGGGAUAGCCUUUCGAAAGAAAGAUUAAUACCUGAUAGUACUUUUUCAAGGCAUCUUGAGAAAGUUAAAGAUUUAUUGGUUAUGGAUGGGGAUGCGUUCCAUUAGAUAGUUGGUGAGGUAACGGCUCACCAAGUCUUCGAUGGAUAGGGGUUCUGAGAGGAAGGUCCCCCACAUUGGUACUGAGACACGGACCAAACUCCUACGGGAGGCAGCAGUGAGGAAUAUUGGUCAAUGGGCGAGAGCCUGAACCAGCCAAGUAGCGUGAGGAUGAAGGUCCUAUGGAUUGUAAACUUCUUUUAUAGUAGAAUAAAGUGAUCCACGUGUGGAUUUUUGUAUGUAUACUAUGAAUAAGGAUCGGCUAACUCCGUGCCAGCAGCGGC
rnacentral:rRNA from 1 species